AGGUAAGGACUUUACUGCCUGAGCCCUCUCCAGCUGGCUCUCCAGUCUCUACGUCUUAGCAUGCUGGAGGCGAAGUGUGGCAGUCAGCAUGCAGCUGUCUUCAUGCACACACCAGGACCAGGGAAGAAAACCUACAGAACACUGCUUUGUUACCAGGUCUGUGUUGAUCACUGUCCACCAUGGGAAGAAGCGUCUUUGUUUAGGCUGACAGCUGUUCGAAAUGUGAGCUCUGGGGAUGGAACUAGAAACUGAGCCCUCUCUCAAGCACCCUGGAUUUCUGGCCCUUCCCCUUCCAUGGCUGAGUCCAUCAGAAAAAAUAAGCGUUCCCCUGGGUGACGUGUGACCCCAGUCACAGGGUAAGCUGUCUGGCCAACUUGGGCAGCUGACAGAGGAAGAUAUCCUGGAGGUCUGCACCACCAGUUGGAUCUGGAAGGAUGGAUGCUCCCUGGCCAAGAGGAGGGAGGAGGGCCAGACAACCUGGAAAAAGAAAAUUUCCCAGUGAGUGACACUCCAGGCCAGUCCUUCAGGAAACCCAUGCUCUUCCCCAGGGCCAGCAUUGCAUUUGUGCUGAUUCCCUUGGAACUUCCAGCCAUAGGGAGCCAGACAGACGAGGGGCAAAGAGGAGGAGGACUAAGGAGAUGGAACAAAGUCGAAUCAGGAGGAAGGAUGCUGAGGCGGGAGAAGAGAAAAGAAGGCGGACUUGAGACUUCUGAUGCAUUAACAAUUGCAUCUCUUUGCCGAGGGUUUGAAGCCUCUCACACCGCCCCACACUGUACACCAUGGGUACCGGGGAUCAAUGUUGUAGGUGUGGAUCUAGGUCAGGAGGACACCAGAUGGGAGCUGUGGCUUCUUACACGGAGAGUGAUGGGAACAGACAGUUUAUAAGGGAAAAGAACACUUCUGUACAAGGGAAGAUGGCAGAGGGAGCAAUAUUAGACCUCAUGGCCAUGAGAAUCCCUAAUGGGUCGUUUCCACGGUACCCACCAUCUCCCACACUUGUCUGCCACAGGCUUUUCCUGUCCUAGUCUGUCUUUUACAUGUAGCCCUGACUGGGAAGGGUCUCCAGACUUCUUGCCAACUGGCUUCCUUCAUAUGCUGUUGAUCUGCCCUCUCUGUCUACUCUCCUCCACAUCGAGACCCUCUUUAAUACAGGAGGAAGCAGAGACUGGGGAGUCAGGGCAUGCCCGAGUUCACUCAGCUAGUCAAAGAACAGAGGGGAAGGCACUCAGAGUCCCCAUCUUCCAGCCCUGCUGAGUGUUUACAUGGGACAUGAUUCAGCACAGCUCCAAAGCCCCAAGGACUGCUGCCUGCGAAGCAUUCUAUGCUCACUGGUGAGGAAACUGGGCCUCCCGCCCCUACCCUUUUAGGAAAUGUAGAUCUGCAGGAAACACUUGGCUUUGAUGGGAAGGACUAAUUAGAGGUCAUUUUGAUUAAAAAAAACAAAAAACAAAAAAACGGAGUCGGUGUAUCUAAUUCGGUUUGACCACAGUCGCUGGGCAUUUGCACCAAGUCCAGGGCACUGGGAGUUGAGUUUGUUGGACACUGAACCAUCUUUGGAUUUUCUUGGCGUUGUUUUCUUUCUCUCUGGUUUUGUUUUGAUUUUGUUGCUGUUCUUGUUGCUUUAAAAAUAUACACACUCCGGAGUCGGAUACUUUUGACUUCUUUGAUGCUUGGGAAGCCAACCAUACACUCCUAAAGUUAGACAGAAUGGAGUUGACCUUGGCAGAAAUUAGACCACAGCCUCGGCGGUCUCUGGCCAGGGGCCUGGCCCACAGCUGGUGCGGUCAGCAGAGUGUCAUUAAGUUCUCUGGAGAAAAGCAGAGCCCAGAGACCUGCUGCUUCCACCACCAUUGGCAUCCUGCCUCUGUGCAGGCAGGACCAAGUGCUAACGAGAGCUGAGGCUGUACUGCCGUGGCUUGGCAGUGGGGCCCACAAAAUACCUCCAAAAGAUGUCUCCCCUCCAGAACCCACACUAUAAUGACCCUUGCCAGUGAAUUCCAUUGGUUCCCUUACCUGCCUGUCAGUAAGGACUCUUCUGGUUUGGGCUUUGAGGAUACACCUCUUUUGGUAAUGCCUGUUUAAUGAGCACAGGAUCUCCAAAAUCCAUGCCAAGUGGUGAAAGGCAUGGCAGCACACGCUUGUAAUCCCAGCCCCGAGGAGACAGACAGACAGACAGACAGACAGACAGACAACAGUCAGACAGGGGGAGCCCAAUCAGACAGGAGGAUCCCAGGGGCUCACUGGCCUGGAUUAGUGAGUUUCAGACUGUGAAAGACCCUGCAUCAGUCGAAGGUGGAAGGUGGAUAUUAUCCCCGAGAGGAGACCUGAAGUUGUCCUUCAGUAUCUGGAUGCAUGCACACAGGUAUGCCAACCAUACCCACACACUCAAGCUUUAAAUAAACAAAAGGACUCCUGAUGGAAGCCUAUCCAAUCACAGCGCCACAUUUAACCCAGCCUUGGUGAUUGGGUCCGUCUUGGACACAUGACCACAAGCAGGCCAAUCACAAGUCUUCUGUCCUUCUGCUCUGAGUUUGUUAAAGAGACAGGGCUUCUAUUCGCUGUUGUAGAAACAAUCUGAAACUGUAGGCUGUGUUCAAGCAAGCUGAGGCAGCUUACUCCUAGUGGCUAUCAUGGCAGUGGUAUAACCAUUUUGGAUUUUCUUCCUGGCAUCUGUAACCAAUAGCUGCAAGCCAAGGGCCAAGUGCUGCUUCUGUGAAGGCUUGCCUGCUGGGCACAAUGGGAGAGGGGAGGCCUCCUGGAAGGCAAUACUAAAUCUGUCUAAAAGGAUGCAGGCAGGAGAGAAUGCCACUGCGCUACAAACAAGAGAGGGUGAAGAAGGACAAGGUGAGGGGGACAGAGCAACCUGGAGAAACCCCGAGGCGAGCUAUGGAGGAGGCAGAGAUCAGCUUGAAGGCUGCUCGGGCCAUCGAGUGACAGAGGCCUUGCUCUACAAAGGGUGCCCGAGAAUCUCUUGCUGAAGGCAGCUCUCUCUAUACUCAGGAGUUCUGAGAGGCAGAGAUGUGGUAGGCAAAGGCUUUGAAAUGCUCUCUUUUCUUAGAUCCAAUCGACUCUUCUUGGAGAAUCUCGGGCUUUGGAGCAAGGAAAGAGUCAAGUUCACUGAAUCGGGUGCUGCAUUCACUCACACAAUGUAAAAGCCGAAGAACAGCCCUGAAUCACAGCGGGAUGUGGAGCUCCUGAUGACCUCAGAGUUUGUAUUACUCUGUUCUCAUUUCAUUUCGCCCUCCUUCCCAAGCAUCCUUUCCUGACGGGAGCCUCGAGCCAGAUGGUACCCAAGAAGCUCCUGACUUAGACUUGCCACUUAAGGCCAAAAGGGUGCCAGACACUGGGGUGGCCACCAAGGACAGAACUGUGGAGCUAAGAAAUCUAGUCAGAUGUUAUCAUCAUGAAGGCUGCUCACUUCAACAAAACAUGCUGAAACAAUUGUCACUUGGUUCGAAGGGUAGAGAAGAAACCAAGAAAAUAACGGGAAGCUCUGAGGAGGACAAGGCUUCACAGAGGUGACUCAGGGUCCCCAGGGACAAAUAGAAGUUGGCUAGCCUCAUAGAAUCACAACAGAAACCCUGGUCUUGUACCAAGGGCCCCAUAGCAAUCCAGUGUCUAAAACUUACCA
rnacentral:sRNA from 1 species